GGUUAGUGUGGCAUAGUGGUUUGAGUGUUGGACUGGGGCUCCAGGGGACCAGGAUUCAAAUCCCCACUCAACCA